GGCCCGGUAGCGGAUGGUCCGCACCUGCUGUACAUAGCCGAUUGUUGUGCUUUGUGCGGGACUCGCUCGUUCGAUUCGAGCCCGGGCCA